UGCAUUAACCAGAUAAUCUUUAAAGAAAAUAGGGAAGAAAUAAGAGACAUAGGUAUUGUUUACCCCUUUUACGAGAAUAUGAGGACAAACUUUGGGAAAAUAAUGAAAAAUUGAGACGGUCUGCACCAGCUCCGUAGAUCCAUCACUGUAAUUUCAGGCCAGCUGUCAAGAGUUUUCAGGCUUAAAGAAUGAAUAAAUAAAAAAUGCAUCAAUUUCUCCAUAGGGCCUAGCCAUUCCCCCAAAAAUUGGACCAAUGGAUUCAUUCAUAUACAUACAUAUUUUGUGUGGAGGGUAUUAAUGUCCAUUAGGAUCAUAUUUCCAUUGUGUUCAUGAGAGUUUCGUAUUUUUAGUGGUUAAACUUGCAUGUUAAAGUCCUUCAGAACAGCACAACACUUAGUAAAUUUCCAGAUAACAUUUACUUAGAGCCUUAACUCCAUAAUUCUGGCAAGUUGUUUGUUAAAUUUUACUUGUGAGCGUAAUUGUAAAUAAUAUUUACUACUAGUAAAUUUUCAUGAUUGAGAAUGUCACGAAUCAUUAAGCUUCCGAUGGAAACUUUCAACCUCCUGUUUUUUUUUAAAUUGGUUGUAAAAAGUGUUCAUAGUACACAAUUUUAACAUAUAUGGAAAUGAUGUGUGACCAACAA